rnacentral:rRNA from 1 species
GACGAACGCUGGCGGCGUGCUUAACACAUGCAAGUCGAACGGUGAAGCUCCAGCUUGCUGGAGUGGAUCAGUGGCGAACGGGUGAGUAACACGUGAGCAACCUGCCCCUGACUCUGGAAUAAGCGCUGGAAACGGCGUCUAAUACUGGAUACGAGAAGGGUCCGCAUGGGCACUUUCUGGAAAGUUUUUCGGUUGGGGAUGGGCUCGCGGCCUAUCAGCUUGUUGGUGAGGUAAUGGCGCACCAAGGCGACGACGGGUAGCCGGCCUGAGAGGGCGACCGGCCACACUGGGACUGAGACACGGCCCAGACUCCUACGGUAGGCAGCAGUGGGGAAUAUUGCACAAUGGGCGAAAGCCUGAUGCAGCGACGCCGCGUGAGGGAUGACGGCCUUCGGGUUGUAAACCUCUUUCAGCAGGGAAGAAGCGAAAGUGACGGUACCUGCAGAAGAAGCACCGGCUAACUACGUG